UGCGUAGGCGGAAGAUUAAGUCAGUGGUGAAAUCCUGCAGCUCAACUGUAGAACUGUCAUUGAUACUGAUUUUCUUGAAUACUGUAGAGGUAGGCGGAAUAUGUAAUGUAGCGGUGAAAUGCUUAGAUAUUACAUAGAACACCGAUUGCGAAGGCAGCUUACUAUACUGUGAUUGACGCUGAGGCACGAAAGCGUGGGGAGCGAACCGGAUUAGAUACCCGAGUAGUCC
rnacentral:rRNA from 1 species